ensembl:lncRNA
ACUUACAGUCUCAAGACCCAAAAGGGAUUAAGGAAGAAAAAAAGGGGAACCAUAACAGUAAAAAUGCUCAUCCUUUAGUGGAGUGGAAUAUCCAGCAGUUCCAGCUUCCUACCUCUCCUGAAGCAUGAUGGAGUGACUGAAGAUGAAGACAAGCUCUGAUGGAGGGGGCCCUUCUUUCCCAUAGCAAAGCAUUGCCUGAAAGUAAAGAAAGCCAGAAUGUCAUGGAGCUGAUGAAGGUUCACAAACACUUGGAGAAGACUUCUCGGGCAGACGAGGCGCUUAUCUGGCAAGAAUUUGUGACCUGACCUCGAAAGGGUGGGCGGCGAUUUCCCACUUGCCUUUGAUGGUUGCGACACGUGGCAAAUGACUGUUCGUUGGACAUGAAGGAAGCGCUUCAUAGAGGAUCCAAGGGUGAUCUGUUAUACAUUACAGAUAUCAAAGACGACUGGCAAAUUGCUGUUCAACACUUUUCACCAUCUUCUCCCAACUUCCUAUCAACUGCAGCCAUAGACCAGGUCUUCAUUUACUGGCCGAGGCAACUACUUUCCGGGCAUGUCGGCGAGGUGUCCAUGACUGCUGCUGAAAAAGAUGCCAAGGACUUGGCAGGAUUUGUUGUAUUUGAUUUGCUGCCCCUUGCAUCCAAGAAAAAUCCACUGUUCCGUCAGCCGCCGAUGCUCCAGACCUGGCCUGACAAGCCUGGCUGUAUAUUUACAGUUGGCAGGAGCGAAGGCUUCAUCAAUCUUCCGGCUUUGAAGGGGACAGGCCCGUUCCCAUGAGCACCUGCUCCGGGAGAACAGCUGAACUGUGACUUUCCAGGGAGCUGGCUGUAAAUUUUCCCCAUUCUCUCUUUCCCUUCCACCUCCCAAACCCUACGCCGGGCUGGAGGUUUUUAACCUUCUUCGGCUGGCAGGCAUCCCAGCCAUCAGCUCCGAGCGGAAAGACUCGGCCUGUUUUUAAUUAACCUUUUCUUUCCCACUGCAGGCACUCUCAGGAUCCUUCACACUCAACGGGGGAACCGAACGCAAGAGCCGCCUCUUUGCCUGCAGUCACAAAGGGAAGGGCUCCGUUUCCCCUUUGUGUCUAGUGCAUUACCCCCAGUAGAUGAUGCUGGGGAACAGUCGCCUUGGCUGGCUUUCUUUCCAAAGGCGUCUUCUGAGAGCAGCACUGGACCAGGUGUUCAGGCUACUGGGUGUGUGGCUUGGCAUUUUGGGGAAGGGCUGAAAGGGCGGAGGAGGAUUCGGCAGCCUGUGCAUUCUACAAAUCAAAGAUGGCGGAUUCCCCAGCAUACCCUUCUUCGAAGGGGCAUUUUUUCAGGAGAGAAAUGGUUUCAGUGUGCCUUUCUUUUUCUUUUAAAGUACAGGCACUCUGCAUACGAUUUCCAUCCCUUUCCAGUUUGGAUUUCAACACNCAUCAGCCACAACUCAGCCCAUNCAUUUUGGACUCCAAUUCCCGUUCGUCCCACUUGACACAUCCAUUUUGAGNCCCAGUCCCACCACCCCAGUCAACAUAGCCCUUUUGAAUUCCAGUUCCCAUCAGUCCCAGGCAGCACAGCUAUUUUGGACCAGCCCCAACCUGCCUGGCCAGCGUCAGUGAGAUCUUCUAAAAGUUAAAGAAUCGGAAUCCACGACAUCAGCCUUUCUUACCAACAACAGGUUUGAAAUAUUGCAGGAGGAAUGACUGGAUGUUUAUAAAGACUUAGAGCAUAGUUCAUUAUUGCCUCAGUCUUCCCUAAGAACAGGACUUCAGGGUGAACAUUGUAGCAUGGACAAAUAAUUG